rnacentral:rRNA from 1 species
GAUGAACGCUGGCGGCGUGCCUAAUACAUGCAAGUCGAGCGAAUGGAUUGAGAGCUUGCUCUUAUGGAGUUAGCGGCGGACGGGUGAGUAACACGUGGGUAACCUGCCCAUAAGACUGGGAUAACUCCGGGAAACCGGGGCUAAUACCGGAUAACAUUUUGAACCGCAUGGUUCGAAAUUGAAAGGCGGCUUCGGCUGUCACUUAUGGAUGGACCCGCGUCGCAUUAGCUAGUUGGUGAGGUAACGGCUCACCAAGGCAACGAAGCGUAGCCGACCUGAGAGAGUGAUCGGCCACACUGGGACUGAGACACGGCCCAGACUCCUACGGGAGGCAGCAGUAGGGAAUCUUCCGCAAUGGACGAAAGUCUGACGGAGCAACGCCGCGUGAGUGAUGAAGGCUUUCGGGUCGUAAAACUCUGUUGUUAGGGAAGAACAAGUGCUAGUUGAACAAGCUGGCACCUUGACGGUACCUAACCAGAAAGCCACGGCUAACUACGUGCCAGCAGCCGCCGCCG